UACGUAGGGUGCAAGCGUUAAUCGGAAUUACUGGGCGUAAAGCGCACGUAGGCGGAUAUUUAAGUCAGGGGUGAAAUCCCAGAGCUCAACUCUGGAACUGCCUCUGAUACUGGGUAUCUUGAGUAUCGAAGAGGUGAGUGGAAUUGCGAGUGUAGAGGUGAAAUUCGUAGAUAUUCGCAGGAACACCAGUGGCGAAGGCGGCUCACUGGUCCAUAACUGACGCUGAGGUGCGAAUGUGUGGGGAGCGAACAGG
rnacentral:rRNA from 1 species